AUGAAACUCAUUGCUUGGAACUGCCGGGGAUUGGAUAACGGCCCGGCAGUCCGAGGGCUUCUGGAGAUCCAGAAGCGGGAGGACCCAGAUAUUCUUUUCUUGUCCGAAACCAAACUGGAUGAGAGGAGAAUAAAGCAUUUUAAAUGGGUGUUGGGUAUGAAGGAAAUGGUAAUAAAAGACUGUAAAGGAAAAAGUGGAGGGCUAGCAAUGUUUUGGAAGGAUACAGUGAAGGCUGAGCUUCACAAUUUCUCCAAGUACCACAUAGACAUUGAGAUAAUUGAAGACGAUAAUUUUAGAUGGAGGUUUACAGGUAUAUAUGGCGAACCAGCAAGUGACAAAAAGGAAAGGACCUUCAAUUUGCUUCGGGAUCUGAGUGCCCAGCUUGAAAGACCUUGGAUUUGUGUUGGAGAUUUUAAUGAAAUAUUGUAUGGCCAUGAGAAAGAAGGUGGCCCCCCAAGAAUUCAAGCCCACAUGGACAAUUUCAAAGAAACUCUUGAAGAAUGUGUUUUGCAGGACCUGGACUAUGAGGGGGAUAUAUUCACAUGGAGAAAUCAUAGCCAUUCGGCAGAAAAAUACAUUAAGGAGAGGCUGGAUAGAGCUGUGGCAAAUAUGGAGUGA
rnacentral:rRNA from 1 species